GAAUGAAGAACGUAGCGAAAUGCGAUAAGUAAUGUGAAUUGCAGAAUUCAGUGAAUCAUCGAAUCUUUGAACGCACAUUGCGCCCGCCAGUAUUCUGGCGGGCAUGCCUGUUCGAGCGUCAUUACAACCCUCAGGCCCCCGGGCCUGGCGUUGGGGAUCGGCGGAGCCCCCCGUGGGCACACGCCGUCCCCCAAAUACAGUGGCGGUCCCGCCGCAGCUUCCAUCGCGUAGUAGCUAACACCUCGCGACUGGAGAGCGGCGCGGCCACGCCGUAAAACACCCAACUCUUCUGAAGUUGACCUCGAAUCAGGUAGGAAUACCCGCUGAACUUAAGCAUAUCAAUAAGCGGAGGA
rnacentral:misc_RNA from 1 species